rnacentral:rRNA from 1 species
UACGAAGGGGACUAGCGUUGUUCGGAAUUACUGGGCGUAAAGCGCACGUAGGCGGCGCAGCAAGUCAGGGGUGAAAUCCCGGGGCUCAACCCCGGAACUGCCCUUGAAACUGCAGUGCUAGAAUCUUGGAGAGGCGAGUGGAAUUCCGAGUGUAGAGGUGAAAUUCGUAGAUAUUCGGAAGAACACCAGUGGCGAAGGCGACUCGCUGGACAAGUAUUGACGCUGAGGUGCGAAAACGUGGGGAGCAAACAGG